UCUCCGUAGGUGAACCUGCGGAGGGAUCAUUACAGAGUUCAUGCCCUACCGGGUAGAUCUCCCACCCUAUGUUAUUAUUACUUUGUUGCUUUGGCGGGCCGUUAGGCUCCGGCCCGACUACCGGCCCCGGCUGGUAAGCACCCGCCAGAGGACCCAAAACCCUGAAUAUUAGUGUCGUCUGAGUACUAUAUAAUAGUUAAAACUUUCAACAACGGAUCUCUUGGUUCCG
rnacentral:misc_RNA from 1 species